UUGUUAAAGCUAACCACUUU
rnacentral:snRNA from 1 species